rnacentral:lncRNA from 1 species
AGAGGGCCCGCUCACCACCCCGUAGGCCCCGCCCCUGCGUCUCUGCCCGCCCCGUGGCGCCCGAGUGCACUGAAGAUGGCGGCUGCUGUAGGACGGUUGCUCCGAGCGUCGGUUGCCCGACAUUCAUCAAGCAUUUGAGCGUCAACGAUCUCCCAGUGGGCCGAAGCGUGGAAGAAACCCUCCGCUUGGUGAAGGCGUUCCAGUAUGUAGAAACACAUGGAGAAGUCUGCCCAGCGAACUGGACACCGGAUUCUCCUACGAUCAAGCCAAGUCCAGCUGCUUCCAAAGAGUACUUUCAGAAGGUAAAUCAGUAGAUCACCCAUGUGUAUCUGCACCUUCUCAACUGAGAGAAGAACCACAGUUGAAACCUGCUUUUAUCAUUUUCAAGAUGGUUAUUUGUAGAAGGCAAGGAACCAAUUAUGCUUGUAUUCAUAAGUAUUACUCUAAAUGUUUUGUUUUUGUAAUUCUGGCUAAGACCUUUUAAACAUGGUUAGUUGCUAGUACAAGGAAUCCUUUAUUGGUAACAUCUUGGUGGCUGGCUAGCUAGUUUCUACAGAACAUAAUUUGCCUCUAUAGAAGGCUAUUCUUAGAUCAUGUCUCAAUGGAAACACUCUUCUUUCUUAGCCUUACUUGAAUCUUGCCUAUAAUAAAGUAGAGCAACACACAUUGAAAGCUUCUGAUCAACGGUCCUGAAAUUUUCAUCUUGAAUGUCUUUGUAUUAAACUGAAUUUUCUUUUAAGCUAACAAAGAUCAUAAUUUUCAAUGAUUAGCCGUGUAACUCCUGCAAUGAAUGUUUAUGUGAUUGAAGCAAAUGUGAAUCGUAUUAUUUUAAAAAGUGGCAGAGUGACUUAACUGAUCAUGCAUGAUCCCUCAUCCCUGAAAUUGAGUUUAUGUAGUCAUUUUACUUAUUUUAUUCAUUAGCUAACUUUGUCUAUGUAUAUUUCUAGAUAUUGAUUAGUGUAAUCGAUUAUAAAGGAUAUUUAUCAAAUCCAGGGAUUGCAUUUUGAAAUUAUAAUUAUUUUCUUUGCUGAAGUAUUCAUUGUAAAACAUACAAAAUAAACAUAUUUUAAAACAUUUGCAUUUUACCACCAGUAA